CUGAGAGGAGGUAGUCUCACCUGGGGUGCUGGGCUGUAGAGGCUCUGAGAGGAGGUAGUCUCACCUGGGGUGCUGGGCUGUAGAGGCUCUGAGAGGAGGUAGUCUCACCUGGGGUGCUGGGCUGUAGAGGCUCUGAGAGGAGGUAGUCUCACCUGGGGUGCUGGGCUGUAGAGGCUCUGAGAGGAGGUAGUCUCACCUGGGGUGCUGGGCUGUAGAGGCUCUGAGAGGAGGUAGUCUCACCUGGGGUGCUGGGCUGUAGAGGCUCUGAGAGGAGGUAGUCUCACCUGGGGUGCUGGGCUGUAGAGGCUCUGAGAGGAGGUAGUCUCACCUGGGGUGCUGGGCUGUAGAGGAGGUAGUCUCACCUGGGGUGCUGGGCUGUAGAGGCUCUGAGAGGAGGUAGUCUCACCUGGGGUGCUGGGCUGUAGAGGCUCUGAGAGGAGGUAGUCUCACCUGGGGUGCUGGGCUGUAGAGGCUCUGAGAGGAGGUAGUCUCACCUGGGGUGCUGGGCUGUAGAGGCUCUGAGAGGAGGUAGUCUCACCUGGGGUGCUGGGCUGUAGAGGCUCUGAGAGGAGGUAGUCUCACCUGGGGUGCUGGGCUGUAGAGGCUCUGAGAGGAGGUAGUCUCACCUGGGGUGCUGGGCUGUAGAGGCUCUG